UGUGCGGGUGAUGGCAAUACAACAAAACCUUUCAAUAAAAUGUGUGCCGUUAUUACACAAUUCGUAAAAGCUUUAAUAAAACAUUUUGAACGAAGUUUCACAGGCUAGUAUAACAUGGUGUGGCACAACAGUUGGUGCGCUACUAUGGCUUGGCCGCUUCCAACGCUAGCUCCCGCGCCUGCCAUGCUGCCGUUGCCGUGCAUUGUCUCCGUUCGCGCUUGCAGUGUCGCGCAUGGCCGCGCGCCCGCACUUUGCAAAGAAUUCAGCGGGUCGCUUUCGUGCGCACAUCGCAUUCUCUGUGUGUUCCUGCGUUGAUGGCUCAGCUUCGUUUUGGUGCUUUCAGACAUUCACGUACUAAUCACAGACAUGGGAAGACUAUAAGACGUCAAGAUGAAAGGCUCCUAGCAGCUCUCAGUGUUCCCAACGAAACUGGCAGAAUGGCAGUGGCUGAUUACAAGCUGCCUUUGGUGAACAAAAAAACCGUGACCACAUUAGAAUCCGAGCAGAGCUCCAAUCCUGCAUUCUGAUGACACCUUAUACAACGGCUCUCUGUUAUGGGGGGCUGGUACUUAAGAAGCUUUACUGCGGGCAUCCUACCCACUAUUUUCAGACUGUUUUGGUGGAAACUUAAGCUAGACUCUAGGCCAGCAGCGGAAAAAGAGCUUCAGGGACAUGCAUGUCUACAGUGUCAUGGAAGAUGCAUCAAAGGAUACUGGACCUGCCGCCAGCUGACAUGCCUUUCGUCCUCCUUAGUUCUGUUAAGAUGUUGGUUCAGUUUUUCUAGACAUGCAAUCCAUAAUAUAUGCAGUCUAGUCAAUCAGUGCACGGCAUUACAUGCCAUUCAUUUCCUAUGUAUAUAUUUAGUCAGAAUCAAAGCAGGACAAGCACAUGUACAUAAUUUGCAAGAAUAAAAUUUUGUUUUU